UACGUAGGGUGCGAGCGUUGCCCGGAUUUAUUGGGCGUAAAGGGCGCGCAGGCGGCUCGGCACGUCCGUUGUGAAAUCGCCCGGCUCAACUGGGCGGGUCAGCGGAUACGGUCGAGCUUGAGCAAGCUAGGGGGCAAUGGAAUUCCCGGUGUAGUGGUGAAAUGCGUAGAUAUCGGGAGGAAUACCAGUGGCGAAGGCGGCUGCCUGGCCUGUUCUUGACGCUGAGGCACGAAAGCGUGGGGAGCAAACAGGA
rnacentral:rRNA from 1 species